rnacentral:tRNA from 1 species
GCCCGGAUGGCGGAACUGGCAGACGCAGCGGACUCAAAAUCCGCCGAUCGCAAGGUCAUGGGAGUUCGAUUCUCCCUCUGGGCA